CCAUAGCCCCGAUAGUAGCGGUUACCCCACAGCAAGCGAAGGAAAAAGCCUUGGAGCGAGGAGUAAUAGCGGAUAGCGGGAUGAAGC
rnacentral:misc_RNA from 1 species